rnacentral:rRNA from 1 species
AACGUAGGAGACAAACGUUAUCCGGAGUUACUGGGCGUAAAGGGCGUGUAGGCGGUAUGUUAAGUCUGGCGUGAAAGCUCUCGGCUAAACCGGGAGAGGUCGUUGGAUACUGGCAAACUAGAGGAUGGUAGAGGCGUGUGGAAUUCCGGGUGUAGUGGUGAAAUGCGUAGAGAUCCGGAGGAACACCAGUGGCGAAGGCGGUUCUCUGGGCAUUACCUGACGCUGAGGAGCGAAAGUGUGGGGAGCGAACAGG